rnacentral:rRNA from 1 species
GACGUAGGGCGCGAGCGUUGUCCGGAUUUACUGGGCGUACAGGGAGCGUAGGCGGUUGGAUAAGCCCUCCGUGAAAUCUCCAGGCUUAACCUGGAAAGUGCAGAGGGGACUGUUCAGCUAGAGGAUGGGAGAGGAGCGCGGAAUUCCCGGUGUAGCGGUGAAAUGCGUAGAGAUCGGGAGGAAGGCCGGUGGCAAAGGCGGCGCUCUGGAACAUUUCUGACGCUGAGGCUCGAAAGCGUGGGGAGCAAACAGG